rnacentral:rRNA from 1 species
GGGGAUAGCCUUUCGAAAGAAAGAUUAAUACCCGAUGUCAUAGUCCUACCGCAUGAUGGGAUUAUUAAAGAAUUUCGGUAUGGGAUGGGGAUGCGUUCCAUUAGUUAGUUGGCGGGGUAACGGCCCACCAAGACAACGAUGGAUAGGGGUUCUGAGAGGAAGGUCCCCCACAUUGGAACUGAGACACGGUCCAAACUCCUACGGGAGGCAGCAGUGAGGAAUAUUGGUCAAUGGACGAGAGUCUGAACCAGCCAAGUAGCGUGAAGGAUGACUGCCCUACGGGUUGUAAACUUCUUUUAUAUGGGAAUAAAAUGUUCCACGUGUGGGAUUUUGUAUGUACCAUAUGAAUAAGGAUCGGCUAACUCCGUGCCAGCAGCCGCGGUAAUACGGAGGAUCCGAGCGUUAUCCGGAUUUAUUGGGUUUAAAGGGAGCGUAGGUGGAUUGUUAAGUCAGUUGUGAAAGUUUGCGGCUCAACCGUAAAAUUGCAGUUGAAACUGGCAGUCUUGAGUACAGUAGAGGUGGGCGGAAUUCGUGGUGUAGCGGUGAAAUGCUUAGAUAUCACGAAGAACUCCGAUUGCGAAGGCAGCUCACUGGACUGCAACUGACACUGAGGCUCGAAAGUGUGGGUAUCAAACAGGAUUAGAUACCCUGGUAGUCCACACAGUAAACG